rnacentral:rRNA from 1 species
UGAUCCUGGCUCAGGACGCACGCUGGCGGCGUGCCUUAACACAUGCAAGUCGAACGAAGCUUGAUUUAUGAUUUCUUCGGAAUGAAUAAUGAUUUGACUGAUUGGCGGACGGGUGAGUAACGCGUGAGCAACCUGCCCUUCGGAGGGGGGAUAGCGUCUGGAAACGGACGGUUAAUACCGCAUAAAGUGUCUUGACCGCAUGAUCGAGAUACCAAAACUGAGGUGCCGAAGGAUGGGCUCGCGUUGGAUUAGAUAGUUGGUGGGGUAACGGCCUACCAAGUCGACGAUCCAUAGCCGGACUGAGAGGUUGAUCGGCCCCUUUGGGUCUGUGUCUCGGCCCUGUCUCCUUCGGGUGGCUGCUGUGGGGUUUCUUGCUCUGUGGGGGUUCCCCUGUUGCUGCUUCGCCGCGUGUCGGUUGUCGGUUUUCGGUUUGUNUUCUUCUGUUCUUNGUGUUGUUUNUUGNCGGUNGCUUGGUGCCUUGCCGCGGCUUUCUUCGUGCCUGCUGCCGCGGUUUUUCGUGGGUGGCUUGCGUUGUCCGGUUUUUCUGGGUGUUUUGGGUGCGCCGGCGGGUUGCCUCGUCUGCUGUGUUUUCUCCUGGUUUUACUUGUAGACUGCAGUUGAAACUGGUUUUCUUGAGUGAAGUAGAGGUUGGCGGAAUUCCGAGUGUAGCGGUGAAAUGCGUAGAUAUUCGGAGGAACACCGGUGGCGAAGGCGGCCAACUGGGCUUUAACUGACGCUGAGGCUCGAAAGUGUGGGGAGCUAACAGGAUUAGAUACCCUGGUAGUCCACACUGUAAACGAUGAUUGCUAGGUGUGGGGGGUCUGACCCCUUCCGUGCCGCAGCUAACGCAAUAAGCAAUCCACCUGGGGAGUACGACCGCAAGGUUGAAACUCAAAGGAAUUGACGGGGACCCGCACAAGCAGUGGAUUAUGUGGUUUAAUUCGAAGCAACGCGAAGAACCUUACCAGCACUUGACAUCCAACUAACGAAAUAGAGAUAUAUAAGGUGCCUUUCGGGGAAAGUUGAGACAGGUGGUGCAUGGUUGUUGUCAGCUCGUGUCGUGAGAUGUUGGGUUAAGUCCCGCAACGAGCGCAACCCCUGCCAUUAGUUGCUACGCAAGAGCACUCUAAUGGGACCGCUACCGACAAGGUGGAGGAAGGUGGGGAUGACGUCAAAUCAUCAUGCCCCUUAUGUGCUGGGCUACACACGUAAUACAAUGGCCGUUAACGAAGGGAAGCAAUCCCGCGAGGAGGAGCAAAACCCAAAAAACGGUCUCAGUUCGGACUGCAGGCUGCAACCCGCCUGCACGAAGUUGGAAUUGCUAGUAAUCGCGGAUCAGCAUGCCGCGGUGAAUACGUUCCCGGGUCUUGUACACACCGCCCGUCA